AAACACAUCAUUUAUAUCGUAAUUCAAUGUGAAGGUUUUAAUCAAACAAUUUAAACUGUCAAUAACUAUAGCCUACGUUACAUUUAGCCUUUCAUGACACCAAAAAACAACCAUGUAAAAGAGAGAAUGAUCAUGAAAUCAAAAGGAGGUGGAGAUCUUCUCAUUGUUAUAAUUUUUUGGAAGUAGCAUGUCAUUUGUGAACGAAUCGGGUUAGACAAAUUAAAUUAAAAAUAAUCUUUAAAUCGAACAAAUGAUUUUCGCUCACUUCCACUCUGACUCGCUUAUUCUGCCUUAUAAAGUUUUUAGCAUGUUUUCUUUCUUUUUGAAUUUAUUUUCUUCAGUCUUUGGUCUGUUUUGAGUUUGAAAGAGAUUUGGCGCGAUCAAAUUGGCCAUAGUACGAGAGACUUUGGACACCUCAUUGGCCGCUGGACCGGACGCCGCCAUAUUGGUCCGGGCAACUCGAAUGAAGUGUUCUACAGAAAAGCUCACUGAUUCCCUCACUAUUUUGAGGUUUUACAAAUCUUCGUAAAAUCCUAAUUAUCUCUAGAGAAAUUCACCUUUCGCAUGUGAUUUCGGAAAAUUUACACUUACAACUUUUGUUGUCCAGGGUCACAAAUCACGCAGUGGAACCAACACAAACCUCAAGCAAGCCUGAAGAAAGCCUGCAUGGACUGUUUUGUGCAUUUACAAGAGCCUGCACCUCUUAUGCAUAUUAUAUAAUUUUAUUAAAUUAUA